CCUGCAAGAGUACACCUUGUGCGAUUCUCGUCUAAUCACCAAAGUUAAGCAGUUUCGGGCCCGGUCAGUACUUGGGAGGGUGACCACCUGGGAACACUGGGUGUUGUAAGCA